rnacentral:rRNA from 1 species
AUUGAACGCUGGCGGCAGGCCUAACACAUGCAAGUCGAGCGAGCGGCGGACGGGUGAGUAACGUGUGGGAAACUGCCUUAUGGAGGUGGGUAACUUCUGGAAACGGUAGCUAAUACCGCAUACUAUCAGAUCUGCCCAGAUGGGAUUCGCUAUUAGGUGGGGUAACGGCUCACCUAGGCGACGAUCCCUAGCGGGUCUGAGAGGAUGACCAGCCACACUGGAACUGAGACACGGUCCAGACUCCUACGGGAGGCAGCAGUGGGGAAUAUUGCACAAUGGGCGCAAGCCUGAUGCAGCAAUGCCGCGUGUGUGAAGAAGGCCUUCGGGUUGUAAAGCACUUUCAGCGGGGAGGCGUUACCCGCAGAGGAAGCACCGGCUAACUCCGUGCCAGCAGCCGCGGUAAUUC